UACGAAGGGGGCUAGCGUUGCUCGGAAUCACUGGGCGUAAAGCGCACGUAGGCGGCUUUUUAAGUCGGAGGUGAAAUCCUGGAGCUCAACUCCAGAACUGCCUUUGAUACUGGAGAGCUUGAGUCCGGGAGAGGUGAGUGGAACUGCGAGUGUAGAGGUGAAAUUCGUAGAUAUUCGCAAGAACACCAGUGGCGAAGGCGGCUCACUGGCCCGGUACUGACGCUGAGGUGCGAAAGCGUGGGGAGCAAACAGG
rnacentral:rRNA from 1 species